AAUAAAUUUGGACAGGGCCAGUCAUCAUAAAAAGUUGCUUCUUGACACAUUACCAACCCAGGGGCCUGUUUCAACACAGGGACAUAAGUCUUCUCAGCGUGAGAACAGGAUAGUCUCAGAAUAUUCCAGGAGGCCUCGGGUUGUGUCUUCUGAAAAGGGACGAGGCUUCCUUUCCUGAGUCAUAGGGCAGACUGUCUCUGAAUUGGCAGAUCAAUACAACAAAGUUCUCUUCCCUGAACCUGGGCAAAGAGUUCAACAUAUUCUUCCCGGGGUCAUGAGGAGCUCAUCUAGUUGCUUUCUGGAAAGGCUGUGGCAAGAUUCAGCUCUUACUCCAUCAGGUAUGCUGGCUGCUGUUGGUUUGGAGGAAGUUCUACACCGAGACUAGACUGAUGGAUGGAAUUUAAUCACUCCUAAAGAGGAAAGAAUCUAUGGUGCCACCUGGAGAACAGGAUUCUUGCUAUUCCAAGUGGUGGAGGGUGCCAGGGUUCACACCACGCCCUGGGUGGUAAACUUCCAGACACAUUCAAGAGGUGUUUAUCUUUUGACACUUAGAUGGCUCCCUACUGAGGGUAAACCAACUUAGGGGAGACAGAGACUGCUGUUUGCAGUGGAGCAGGCAUGGUAACGGGGAUGACAGAGAUUUGGCCUGGGACUCGGAAGAGUGUCGAACUACCUGACCCACCCGAUGUGUGUGCUUAAAACUGAGUCCUGGAUUCUGAUUGAAACCAAGAUGGGUCUCCAAGGCCUGCCAUCAAAGAGACAUUUGUGUACCCGGACAGAGCUCCCAGCUGAGCCCAGAGGCACAAAGAUAACAGAAUAUUAAACGAGGAAAGACUGGACACCGCAACUUCCCCACUGGUUCUGAUGGGAAGACUAAGGGAGAGGUCACAGAAGGUAAAGAGGGCAUCCCUUGAAACAGGAAGAAGAUAACAGUCCUCCUCUGACUGCAAAUCAAUACAACAAAGUUCUCUUCCCUGAACCUGGGCAAAGAGUUCAACAUAUUCUUCCCGAGGUCAUGAGGAGCUCAUCUAGUGCUUUCUGGAAAGGCUGUGGCAAGAUUCAGCUCUUACUCCAUCAGGUAUGCUGGCUGCUGUUGGUUUGGAGGAAGUUAUACACCGAGACUAGACUGAUGGAUGGAAUUUAAUCACUCCUAAAGAGAAAGAAUCUAUGGUGCCACCUGGAGAACAGGAUUCUUGCUAUUCAAGUGGUGGAGGGUGCCAGGGUUCACACCACGCCCUGGGUGGUAAACUUCCAGACACAUUCAAGAGGUGUUUAUCUUUUGACACUUAGUGGCUCCCUACUGAGGGUAAACCAACUUAGGGAGACAGAGACUGCUGUUUGCAGUGGAGCAGGCAUGGUAACGGGGAUGACAGAGAUUUGGCCUGGGACUCGGAAGAGUGUCGAACUACCUGACCCACCGAUGUGUGUGCUUAAAACUGAG
rnacentral:lncRNA from 1 species